UACAGGGGGGGCAAGCGUUGUCCGGAUUCAUUGGGCGUAAAGCGCGCGUAGGCGGUUUGGUAAGUCGGAUGUGAAAACCCCAGGCUCAACCUGGGAACUGCAUCCGAUACUGGAUGGCUUGAAUCCGGGAGAGGGAUGCAGAAUUCCAGGUGUAGCGGUGAAAUGCGUAGAUAUCUGGAGGAAUACCGGUGGCGAAGGCGGCAUCCUGGACCGGCAUUGACGCUGAGGAGCGAAAGCUAGGGGAGCAAACGGGG
rnacentral:rRNA from 1 species